rfam:Thecamonas trahens ATCC 50062 unplaced genomic scaffold supercont1.59, whole genome shotgun sequence.
GACGGUGUGACCGAGUGGUUAAGGUGGUUGACUUGAAAUCAAUUGCUCUCUGAGCGCCAGGGUUCAAAUCCCUGCGCCGUCG